rnacentral:rRNA from 1 species
GACGAACGCUGGCGGCGUGCUUAACACAUGCAAGUCGAACGGAAAGGCCCCUUUUGGGGUACUCGAGUGGCGAACGGGUGAGUAACACGUGAGUAACUUGCCCUCGACUUCGGGAUAACUUCAGGAAACUGGGGCUAAUACCGGAUAGGUAUCCUUGCUGCCUGGUGGGGGGGGGAAAGCUUCGGGGGGUUUGGAUGGACUCGCGGCCUAUUUACUUGCUGGUGGGGUAGUGGCUUACCUAGGCUUUGACUGGUGGCCGGCCUGAGAGGGCGACCGGCCACAUUGGGACUGAGAUACGGCCCAGACUCCUACGGGAGGCAGGAGUGGGGAAUAUUGCACAAUGGGCGGAAGCCUGAUGCAGCAACGCCGCGGGCGGGAUGACGGCCUUCGGGUUGUAAACCGCUUUCAGCAGGGGCGAAGCUUGUGGUGACGGUACCUGCAGAAGAAGCACCGGCUAACUACGUG